UGGGGAAUAUUGGACAAUGGGGGCAACCCUGAUCCAGCGAUGCCGCGUGUGCGAAGAAGGCCUGCGGGUUGUAAAGCACUUUAGUUGGGGAAGAAAGUUCAUGAUUCGAAUAGGGUUGUGAGUUGACGUUACCCAAAGAAUAAGCACCGGCUAACUCUGUGCCAGCAGCCGCGGUAAUACAGAGGGUGCAAGCGUUAAUCGGAAUUACUGGGCGUAAAGGGCGCGUAGGCGGUUGUAUAAGUUAGAUGUGAAAUCCCCGGGCUUAACCUGGGAAUGGCAUUUAAUACUGUAUGACUAGAGUAGAGUAGAGGGAAGUGGAAUUUCCGGUGUAGUGGUGAAAUACGUAGAUAUCGGAAAGAACACCAGUGGCGAAGGCGGCUUCCUGGACUCAUACUGACGUUGAGGCGCGAAAGCGUGGGUAGCAAACAGGAUUAGAUACCCCGGUAGUCC
rnacentral:rRNA from 1 species